AAAAAUCGAUACGAGUACAUUAAAAAGACGGUGAAAUUAUUCUAAUAUAGACAUCUAAGUAAAUAGAAUGGUGCGUUGUCGUGUUAUUUCAUGUUUAAGCGACAGUGAGAAGAAAAUUGCCGGUGUGUCUUUUCACGCGUUUCCAGAUGAUCCAGACCUACGUUAUAAAUGGAUCGAAGCAACUGGGAGAAAAAAUUGGAUUCCCACAAAAUAUUCUAAAAUAUGAAGCAAUCAUUUCCCAGAAAAACAACUUAUUAAAAAGAACAAGAAGACAGUUCUGUAUCCUGAUGCAGUACCAAUAGUGAUUUCAAUACCCGAGGAGUGUGUUGAUCCAGCACCGUCCACAUCUACAAGUGCCAAUUUUCAAGAUGACACAAAAAUAAAAGGUUGUCAAAAGAAAAUUGCAAUUACCUGAAGAGGAAGAUACGCCAAGAAAGAAAAAACUUAAAGUGGCCUUAAAGAAGAAAACUGAGGCUGUUGCAAAUCUUCGAAUAAAAAUACGUGCUGUCCGGCAAACAAACAGGCGUCUAAUAAAACGAAAUGCUAAGUUAUCAGAUAUUAUUUCAGAGCUACAAUUGAAAUCCUUGAUAUCUUAUGAAGAUGCUGACAUAUUAAGCACAAUUGAUAGCGGUAACAAAGAUUUCCUUAAACGGUUUUUGGGUGUAGUUGGAAAAACUAAAAAAUUUUCUCCUGCAUUGAGAAAGUUUGCAUUUCAUUAGUCCACGUGCUUAUUCUUACGUAAGAGAACAAUUUAAUACUUGCCUUCCACACCCGCAAACAUUGGUUAGUUGGUAUCGAUCAGUUGACGGUAAACCCGGAUUUACCAGAGAGGCAUUGUAUGCAAUAAAGUCAAAAGUAAAUGCAUCAGGGAAAAAUAUUCAUGUGUGCAUUUCAUUUGAUGAAAUGUCAAUAAGAAAAGCUAUUACUCUAGAUGGUGGGGAAUGUAUUGGCGCAAUAAAUAUUGGUGCCAAUUUAGAUGGCUAUAAUAUUAGAAUGGCUACUCAGGCUCUAGUUUUUAUGGUAACAGCCCUGAACGAUUCUUGGAAAAUACCUGUCGGGUAUUUUCUAAUCGAAAGCGUUACUGCGGAACAGAAGUCACAGCUUGUAACUGAUUGCAUUAGGUUGUUGUAUUCCUGUAACGUAAAUGUCGUUUCAAUAACUUGUGAUGGAUGUCCCUCAAAUUUUGCGAUGGCGAAAAUAUAAGGCUGAAAAAUAGAACAUGAUGUUGAAAUUAACCCUGUAUUUAACAUUGAAAUAGAGGGUGUUAAUAAAGAAUUGUGUUUCUUUCCUGAUCCACCACAUAUGGUGAAAUUACUUAGAAAUCUGCUUGGCAAUAAACACGUUUUAAAAACUAGGGACGAUAAAAUCAUAAAGUGGUCAUUUACAACAUCUUUGCAUGAUUUGCAGGAACAAGAAGGUCUCCAUCUAUCAAAUAAAUUGAGAAAAGCACAUAUAAACUUCGUUAAACAGAUAAUGAAAGUUAAACUGGCAGUUCAGACGUUUAGCAAUUCGGUUGCCGAUUCCAUUGAGUUUUGUGAGGAAAAUCAUUUCGAACAGUUCCAAGGAUCAUCACCCACCGUUGAUUUUAUUAGAAAAGUAAAUAAUCUGUUCGAUAUCUUAUCUCCAGCUCAGAAUUAAUAUUCUUGCCCACGUAUAAAUUGAGUCAGGAUCACUUAGAAUCGUUUUUUAGUGCAAUUCGAUCUAAAGGCGGUUUUAAUAAUAAUCCCUCGGCGGUACAGUUUCGAGCCGCGUACAAAAGAUUAGUCGUUCAUGGAGAACUCAAACACAUUGAUACAGGAAAUUGUACAUCUCUCGAAAAUAUAAACAUUUUAACAUACACUAACUCGCGUUAUGAAAAGUCAAUAAAUGCUACUUUACCCCUUUUGGAACAUUCCACUAGUUUAGAAAGCGAAAGUCCAACUGAAAACGAGUAUUUUAACAUUGAUACUGAUCAUGACUACCUUGCCGAUCCUUGACGACUUACAGAAUUUUCUAAGCAAAUAAUUAUACAUAUAUAUUUCUGGUUUUAUAAUAACAAAAGUAGCAAAGAUGGUGAAGUGUGAAAAUUGUUUGAUGUCAAUGAUUAACACUGCCUCUAAAAACAAUUACAAAUUAAUUGUAAAAAAGGAUAAAGGCGGUCUGCAUUAUCCUUCCGCUGAUGUAAUCGUCGUUUGUGAAAUUGCUGAAAAAAAAAUUUAACACAAUUUGACAGUAAUAUACUUACGAGAAAUAAUAUUUUACUACAAUUGAUGAAUCAAUGUAUUCGCCAAUGCAUAGGGAAAGAGAUAUUUAAAGAACAUGGGGUUUCUUAGUGCCCUUACGCAACCUUUAAUAUGCAACCGCUUAUGAUUGUACGCACUAAUCAUAAAAGCGGUUGCAUAUUAAAAUGGGAAAGCGGCUAACCGCGCGGUUAGCCGCCCCCGCGGUUAACCGCUAGUGCGUAAGGGCACUUACGAUCAUUCUCC